rnacentral:rRNA from 1 species
CCUACGGUAUGCAGCAGUGGGGAAUAUUGGACAAUGGGCGAAAGCCUGAUCCAGCAAUGCCGCGUGUGUGAAGAAGGCCUUCGGGUUGUAAAGCACUUUCAGUGGGGAAGAAAGCCUUGGGGCUAAUACCCUCGAGGAAGGACAUCACCCACAGAAGAAGCACCGGCUAACUCCGUGCCAGCAGCCGCGGUAAUACGGAGGGUGCGAGCGUUAAUCGGAAUUACUGGGCGUAAAGCGCGCGUAGGCGGUCUGAUAAGCCGGUUGUGAAAGCCCCGGGCUCAACCUGGGAACGGCAUCCGGAACUGUCAGGCUAGAGUGCAGGAGAGGAAGGUAGAAUUCCCGGUGUAGCGGUGAAAUGCGUAGAGAGCGGGAGGAAUACCAGUGGCGAAGGCGGCCUUCUGGACUGACACUGACGCUGAGGUGCGAAAGCGUGGGUAGCAAACAGGAUUAGAUACCCUUGUAGUC